rnacentral:rRNA from 1 species
ACGCACGCUGGCGGCAUGCCUAACACAUGCAAGUCGAACGAAGCCUUCGGGCUUAGUGGCGCACGGGUGCGUAACGCGUGGGAAUCUGCCCCUUGCUUCGGAAUAACAGUUAGAAAUGACUGCUAAUACCGGAUGAAGUCUUCGGACCAAAGAUUUAUCGGCAAGGGAUGAGCCCGCGUAGGAUUAGGUAGUUGGUGGGGUAAAGGCCUACCAAGCCGACGAUCCUUAGCUGGUCUGAGAGGAUGAUCAGCCACACUGGGACUGAGACACGGCCCAGACUCCUACGGGAGGCAGCAGUGGGGAAUAUUGGACAAUGGACGCAAGUCUGAUCCAGCAAUGCCGCGUGAGUGAUGAAGGCCUUAGGGUUGUAAAGCUCUUUUACCAGGGAUGAUAAUGACAGUACCUGGAGAAUAAGCUCCGGCUAACUCCGUG